rnacentral:ncRNA from 1 species
AAAUAGACGUUGAAAGGGACAGUACACCUAAAUAAAUCUUAUUUAAGCGACCUGAGGAUGGUGAAAGCUCAGGAUAAGUGUUUAGGAGGAAAAUCACCCUUGAGUUCCAUGCCGAAAUGAUAGAGUAAGCACUGGCGAUUUAUUCACGUUACGAAUACUGAAGUGGAUUAAUGAGUUGAAAAAUUAAUCUAAUAGGGUGGUACCGCGAGAUAAGCCUUCUCGUCCCUUGU